AAAAAAAAAAAAAAAAAAAUGAUAUUAAAAAUCGUGCCAUUAUAUAGCUAUAAUUUUUACUGUACUUUGUUAAUUAUUAAAGAAUUAAAUUAUACAAACAAAGAACAUGAACUAAAAAAUAUUUUACCACAUAUAAAUAACAACAUAGAGACAGAAAAUAAUGUUAUGACACAUUGUGAAAAGGAUUAUAAUAACGAUGUUGUUAAUCAUAUAAAAUCAUAUAACUAUGAUUACUUAAAUAAUAAAAAAGAUUUUUAUCCAGAUAAAAGUAAUGAAAAUAUUUAUAUUCUUAUAAACUGCGGAUGGGAUGAAAAUUUUUGUCAAGAGGAUAUCCAAAACGUGUUAAGGUACAUACAUAUACAUAUAUAUAUAUAUAUAACUACUAUUUUUUGUUCACAACUUACUUAUGGUAUAAAAAUGUUUUAUUUUUUAAAAUUAGCUAUUGUUGUACACAUAAAUAUUUAAAUGAAGUAUAUAAGUAACUCUUACUGUGUAUUGUUUUUUAUAUUUAUAUAUAUAUAUAUAUAUGUAUAUAUUUUUUUUGAUAUAGGGUAUGCGAAUAUAUAGACAUUUUAAUAAUCACAAAUUAUAAUUUAAAGUACGUUGGUGCUUUGCCUUUAGUUUAUACAAAUUUGCAAAAAGCGAAUAAAAAAGUAACAAUAAUAUGUCAUGAAUAUGUAAAAUAUUAUAGUAAAUAUAUUUUAUUAAGUUAUUAUAAAUGUUUAAAUAAUUGUGAAUUUUUUAAAAACUUUGUUGCAAAUGAAUAUAAUAAAUUAAUAAAAGAUUUAUAUAACGACAUAACAAUAUUAGAAUAUAGAGAGCAUUAUAUAUUCAAAAAAAUAAUUAAUAAAAAAAAUGAUAUUACAUGUAUACUUCCAUUAUAUUUAAUAAACAACGGAGAUGAUAUAGGUUCCUCAGGGAUUAUAUUCAAAUUGUUCAAUCACAAAAUUCUUUAUUCAAUUAAUUUUAAUGUUUCUGAUUAUUCAUUUAUUGAAAAAUCACAUGUAUUUAAACAAACAGAUAUUUUUACUUUUAUUAGUAACUUUUAUUAUACAAAUAAAAAUUACACAAAAUUUGCUGAUUUAAAAGAAAUUUUAAAAAUUAUUAAUAAAACUAUUAAUAAAAUGGGUUCCGUCAUUUUGCCUGUAGACAUUGACAACACAUUCCUGGACCUAUUGUUUCAUGUCAAUGCAUUAUUGGAAGUAUGCGCACAAAGAUACUCACUUUUGUUUUUAUGUGAUUAUUCGAUAAACUUCAUAAGGUUGUUAUGCACUUCUCUAAGUUACAUGAACGUUAAUAUAAGGAACAAUUUCCACAGAAACAGAAUAAAUUUAUUUAAAAUUAAGAAUUUGAUUUGUUUAAAAAAUUAUAAUGAUUUUAAAAAAUAUGAAGAGGGAUAUUACAUUUUAUUUUCUUUUCCUUCUUCAUUAAACAAUGAAUCAAUUAAAAAAAUUUUAUCAAAAUUUUUAACAAAAAAAAUAAUGUUGUUAUAUUUACCAAAAAAAUUAAUGAAAAAUCAACAAGUUUUGCUAGCCAAGUUUAUAAUAAUUUUUAUACAAAUAAGGAAAAACAGAAGAGUGAAAAUUUUAAUUUUUCUUAUAUACAAAAUGUAAAACUAAAUAAAAAGAAGUUAUAUGAAAUUUAUUUAAAAAAU
rnacentral:lncRNA from 1 species